ensembl:snoRNA SNORA74 Small nucleolar RNA SNORA74
UCCAGCAGUUGUCAGCUGUCAGACUUGUAUGAUGCCUGUGAUGUUGUUACGCUGUUGGAAGAGCAAACACUGUCUUCAUUGAGGUUUGGCUGCAUGAACUGUUUUGGUGUUGUGGGCAGGAACCUCUGGGCAGUGUUCUGUGCCUCUGGAAGUGGAAUGACUCCUCCUAUGGAGUUGCUCCUAGUCUGGAUGCAAAUAAC